GACGAACCGUGCGAACGUUAUUCGGAAUCACUGGGCUUAAAGCGCGUGUAGGCGGAUGGGGACGUCGGUCGCUGAAAUCCCCCGGCUCAACCGGGGAACGGGCGCCGAAACGCCCCGUCUCGAGGGACGUAGGGGGACCUGGAACUUCCGGUGGAGCGGUGAAAUGCGUUGAGAUCGGAAGGAACACCAACGGCGAAAGCACUCUGCUGGGCCGACACUGACACUGAGAGACGAAAGCUAGGGGAGCGAAUGGG
rnacentral:rRNA from 1 species